rnacentral:rRNA from 1 species
GAUGAACGCUAGCUACAGGCUUAACACAUGCAAGUCGAGGGGCAGCAUGAUUGAAGCUUGCUUCAAUCGAUGGCGACCGGCGCACGGGUGAGUAACACGUAUCCAACCUGCCGAUAACUCGGGGAUAGCCUUUCGAAAGAAAGAUUAAUACCCGAUAGUAUAGUAUUUCCGCAUGGUUUCACUAUUAAAGAACUUCGGUUAUCGAUGGGGAUGCGUUCCAUUAGAUAGUUGGCGGGGUAACGGCCCACCAAGUCAACGAUGGAUAGGGGUUCUGAGAGGAAGGCCCCCCACAUUGGAACUGAGACACGGUCCAAACUCCUACGGGAGGCAGCAGUGAGGAAUAUUGGUCAAUGGACGAGAGUCUGAACCAGCCAAGUAGCGUGAAGGAUGACUGCCCUAUGGGUUGUAAACUUCUUUUAUACGGGAAUAAAGUGGAGUAUGCAUACUCCUUUGUAUGUACCGUAUGAAUAAGGAUCGGCUAACUCCGCG